GACAUUCAGGCAGCUGAUGGAGAUACUGACCUGAUGUUGAGCUAUGGCUUCCUACCAUUAACAAGCAUUAACCUGACAAGGAUGUGAGUGAGCCACCUUGGAACUCCAUCCUCCAGUCCCAGUCAAGUCUUUAGAUGACUACAGCCUCAACUGAGAAUCUGAGCAUAAUAUCAUGAGAGUCUCGAAGCUAGAACUACUCAGCCAAGCUGCUUCUGAAUUCCUAACUCACAAAAACUUGAAAAGACAGCCAUCUGCAAGCCAGAAAGAGAGUCCUCACCAGACACUGAAUCUGCUGACACCUUGAGCUUGGAUUUCCCAGCCUCCAGAGAUGUGAGAAAUAAAUGUUUGUUGUAUAAGCCA